GGUUGAAACACGAAACUUAAAGCGCGUAUUUUCCUGAAAGGUUACAAGAAAAUGAGCGGAGGAGACGUGAUGUGCUCGGGGUGGCUCAGAAAGUCUCCACCUGAAAAAAAGUUACGGCGUUAUAGGGGGAUUUCAGAUUUCCUCCCAGAUCUCCCACAAUACUUUGAGCUUGCUGCUUUUGGAGUCCAGGUCAUAGAGCAUGAAGACAAGGGAGACUGAAGAAUUUAUCCAAGAACUGAGAGUGUUUUAUUCUGACCUCUUUUCUGCUGGACCUUAUACUUUCAUGUCUUCCAGACCGCAAAUACUGAAAGUGGAUUCCAGAAUAAAGCAUUCCAGAAUAAAGCAUUCCAGAAUAAAGCAGUCCAAACCUCAUGUUAGGUUAUAGCUCACUUCUUUUUUUGUCCAUGCAAAGCAUAUUGUCUCUGAUGUUUUGCAGAAAAAAUGUAAGCACAUGGUGGCAAACUUUGUCAGGUGUUGAUAGAAAACCCUGCUUUCGCUUGAAUGUAUGAAAAUCUUUCCUCAAAAAAAAAAAAAAAAAUAGGUGAGAAUAAGGCAUUAAAGUUUGAAGUUGGACUCAUUCUGACUCAUUAUUCCCAUAAAUGUUCCUUUAGCUACUCAUUUGUGACCUGACCUGAGGAUCUUCCAUGUCACUAGCUAACGAAGUGGUUGUUUUUACUGUUGAGGUCAGUUUUGGCAAUUCCAGCGCUGGUGUCAGUAUAGUUCAUGUGAAGGUUAAAUGUUGCAGGUGGAAAAAAUGAUGACUAAGGUGAUAAUAUUCAAGUAAAACCGCAACAGGCCAACAAGACGCACAUGGAAAAUUAGAGUUUGGGAUUUCGCACAAGACUGAAGCAUUAUGGAGGCGCACCUUUCUUAUUAGUCACAGGUGAGUGAGUCUUUACUGUCUCUUGACAUCUAACGUCCUAAUGAUUGCUUUUAAAUAUAUAUAUCACUGCAGUGAACAUAUUCCUGCACACACUCAUUAAGAUAAUUAUGGAAAUCUGCAUAAAAAUGAAAAGAGAUGCACUUUCUGGGCGUUUUUUUUAUUUAGUUGACCAUUGAUUUUUUUUUUUUUUUUUAUAUAUCCAAAAAUUGUAGGAUGAAUGUGGAGAUUUCUAAAAGCUGAAACUGUUUAACCUGUAUUGCUUCACCCAUGAAAAGUUAUUUAGCAGGUGACCUCAUAAUAUGGCAGGUGCUUUAUAAAUCUCUCUAAAGCUGUUCUUCUAAAUGGUCUCCUCUUUUUGUGCAGCUAAGAGAAUCACUGUGUGAUAUAGCUUCAUUUCGGUGGGUCACUCUCGCAUUCGAUUAGAUUACACAGGCCUGGAAAACAUUAGAUUGUAAUGGGCUGGUGAGCUGCUCAGGGGGCAGAGCUUGAGUGCUUCAGAACUCUAUGCUUUGAAAUAUAUUACUGGAAUAAAGCACCCUUCUUCAAUUCAGUGGAUGCAAAUAUUUUAAAUUGUUGUGUUUGUCAAGUCUAGGCAUUUCAUUUUUGAUAACACAUGCCUUUUUUGUAUAAAAGAUUACCUUCACCCAAGGAAUGCUUCAUCCCAAAAUGAAAUUCUGUCAUCGUUGACUCACCUUCAUAUCAUUCUAAACCUGUAUAACAUUUCCAUGGAACACACAAGAUGAAUAUUUGAAGAAAAUACUGGCACUUUUCCUAAUAGUGAAAGUGAAAAUUUUUUCCAUAUGACUAAUGCACUGUUCCAAGUCUUCUAAAACCAUGCAAAACCAUAUAUUUCGGUAAUAUAUACUGAUAACCUCCACCACAACUCUGAAAUUGUCUACAGAAAUCUUAUUGAUUAUAAAAAUUACAUGUUGACAGUAUUUGAUGCCAAACAUCACUGGUUUUUGCAUUUCUUGAAACUAAAUGUCACAUCUAAUUUCUAAUGGCACCAUAUUUGCUGUAAGAGGUGCAGUGAUGGGGAAGAUUUUCAGUGAAUAACAACUUUGAGUAACAAAUUGUGGUCUGUUUGUCACACAAAGCCAAUCAUAAUGCUUCAGAAGAUGUAGUAGUUUUUAUUAAGAUAUCAUAAAGACUGUGCUUUAUCAUUUUAGAGCUUGACAGUCCCAGUCCCCAUUAAUUUUCAUUGUAUGGUAAAGAGUAGCCAUGGUAUUAAUUUAAAAAAAUAUUUUUGGAGUUCCGAAGAAAAAAGUCAGUUUUAGAUCCACAUGAGGAUGAGUAAAUGAUGACAGAAUUUAUAUUUUAGGCUGAACUAAUAUUAAAAUCUUUUUUUAAGUUGAGUUUUCUGACCCUAGGACGCUCCCAAAAAGUUGUUUUGCUUUCUUUUCUUUUCUUUCUUUUUUUUUUUUGUCUUUUUUUUUUUGAAGUGUUCUGUCAGCAUGAGUAUGUGUGUUUGUGUUUAUUUGUGCGCACACCCUUUCUCUGCUUCUGCCUUUAGUCCACCCUGGCCUCUCUGAUUUAGUGGUCGUGGUUUUAAGGCGUUCUGGGAGGGCCUGAUUACCCAUACACAGGAAGUUAGAGGUGGGAGAGGUCCCUCCAGAGUUCAAUGUAAAAAGACUGGUAUUUUUGAUAAAGACUCACUCGUGCUACACAUAACAGACACAUCCCUCUCGGCUCUGCCCUGACUGCCGUUGGAAACGGUGUUUGAAAGGCAUGGAAGAAGCGAUGGUUUGUUCUGCGCAGUGGGAGGCUGUCAGGAGACCCAGACGUGCUGGAGUAUUACAAGAAUGACCAUGCCAAGAAGCCCAUCCGCGUGAUCGAUCUGAACCUGUGCGAGCAGGUGGACGCCGGUCUCACCUUCAACAAGAAGGACCUGGAGCACAGCUUCAUCUUUGACAUCAAGACUAUCGACCGGAUCUUUUACCUGGUGGCAGACACUGAAGAGG